CCACAUCGGGUAUAUACAUUUUCCCUCUCUUCACUCUCUCAGUCUCAACGAACUUUCAAUUUCUGAGAAGCAUGCGCCAAAUCAGUUGCUUCAAUGGAAAAGAUUGAUGACUCUCUCAACAAAGACAAAGAUAGAGAUCAUCGCAUAGGACAAGGAUGCACCACCUUGGUUAAGAAAAAAUUAAAAAAACUGCAUUUUCUAUCUCCAUUAUUUACACUUCUGUUCUUUUUUUCAUGCAUUGUAAAUUUUGCUGCCAUUUUUUUAAUCAUUUUUGUGUUUCAUUUGUUCCUCUUUUUUUUUUUAAUUUAUCCAUACUCUUGUUUUUUCUUUUGUUUUGUUUCUGUUUCACCAGUGACUCAAUGGAAAAGACUGACCCCUCUCUCAAUAAAGACGAAGGGAUUGCACAGGAUGCAGAUGCACCACUGAGGGAAAUGGAACAAGAGCUGGCCUUCCAUCUAGAUCCAUGGUCUCCAACUAUUAAUGGAUACUUGGAGGCUGUGGUGAUUAACAAGAAACGGAAGAAAAAUGAAGAAGACAUAGUGAAUUCGACAAAACAGCAUAAAAAAAAUUAGCUGUAGAUAUAGUAUGUUAAUACUGUUUUUCUUUUCAAUAACCAUACAAGUGAAGGGUAGCUAGAAGGCAAUAUCGUUUACUAUUUCUAGAGCAUGGUCAUAUCAUAUAUGCUCUUUUUGGAUUUAUGUUCUUAAACUUUUGUGUUCCAAUUAUUGGUCUUCCUGAAAUUGAAAAAAUAUAAAACGUGGACAGUUUACUUGUGC